rnacentral:rRNA from 1 species
UACGGGGGGGGCAAGCGUUGUUCGGAAUUACUGGGCGUAAAGGGCUCGUAGGUGGCCAACUAAGUCAGACGUGAAAUCCCUCGGCUUAACCGGGGAACUGCGUCUGAUACUGGAUGGCUUGAGAUUGGGAGAGGGAUGCGGAAUUCCAGGUGUAGCGGUGAAAUGCGUAGAUAUCUGGAGGAACACCGGUGGCGAAGGCGGCCAUCUGGACCGCAACUGACGCUGAGGCGCGAAAGCAUGGGGAGCGAACAGG